AACGCUGUGACAGCCACACACCCCAAGGCCUCCAAGAUGAGCUACACGAGGCGUCGCUGGUCAAGGUGGAGCUGGACAAGAAGGUGCAGUCGCUGCAGGAUGAGGUGGCCUUCCUGCGGAGCAACCACGAGGAAGAGGUGGCCGACCUUCUGGCCCAGAUCCAGGCAUCGCACAUCACGGUGGAGCGCAAAGACUACCUGAAGACAGACAUCUCGACGGCGCUGAAGGAAAUCCGCUCCCAGCUCGAAAGCCACUCAGACCAGAAUAUGCACCAGGCCGAAGAGUGGUUCAAAUGCCGCUACGCCAAGCUCACCGAGGCGGCCGAGCAGAACAAGGAGGCCAUCCGCUCCGCCAAGGAAGAGAUCGCCGAGUACCGGCGCCAGCUGCAGUCCAAAAGCAUCGAGCUAGAGUCGGUGCGCGGCACCAAGGAGUCCCUGGAGCGGCAGCUCAGCGACAUCGAGGAGCGCCACAACCACGACCUCAGCAGCUACCAGGACACCAUCCAGCAGCUGGAAAAUGAGCUUCGGGGCACAAAGUGGGAAAUGGCUCGUCAUUUGCGCGAAUACCAGGACCUCCUCAACG
rnacentral:sRNA from 1 species